rnacentral:rRNA from 1 species
GCACAAGCGGUGGAGCAUGUGGUUUAAUUCGACGCAACGCGAAGAACCUUACCUGGGCUCGAAAUGUAGUGGACCGGGGUAGAAAUAUCCCUUUUCGCAAGAACUGCUAUAUAGGUGCUGCAUGGCUGUCGUCAGCUCGUGUCGUGAGAUGUUGGGUUAAGUCCCGCAACGAGCGCAACCCUUAUCUUUAGUUGCCAUCAGGUCAAGCUGGGCACUCUAACGAAACCGCCUCGGAUAACGGGGAGGAAGGUGGGGAUGACGUCAAGUCCUCAUGGCCUUUAUGUCCAGGGCUACACACGUGCUACAAUGGUCGGUACAAACCGUCGCAAACCCGUGAGGGGGAGCUAAUCGGAAAAAGCCGUCCUCAGUUCGGAUUGGAGUCUGCAACUCGACUCCAUGAAGCUGGAAUCGCUAGUAAUCGCGGAUCAGAACGCCGCGGUGAAUACGUUCCCGGGC